CAGGGCCAGCAGGACUCUGCAGGGAAAAUGGCAAAGACUCCCUGGGAGAGACAGCCAGCAGGAAGAGAGAAACAGGGAGGGAGGCACCAUUCUCUGACAUCUGAGCCCGUUGAGCAGCUGAGUGUGUCUGGUGGAUUCAUUACCGUCUGAGCCACCAGAGAAGCCCAGGUCUCUCAGAUCUCAUCCUAAACAGUCUACCUGUUUGCCUCCGUAUAUCUGUAAAUCAUGACUGAGACACACACACAUACACACGCACACUGGCAAAUGAUGGAGAAUAAAGUUCAGCACUCUGUUGUAAAAUU